UAAAAGGCUAAGAUUAGGAAAAGUACUUUAACAAGUAACUUACAGAGAGUGAGGAUUUGGUGAAACCUCAUAGUGAUGGUUAAGGGAAAAUCACCUAGGAGCUGAAGGCUGAAUUUUAGUAAGUUUGUCCGUAUUUCUGCGUUAAAGGAUAGAACAUGUUAGUGUUUGAGUUUAUGAUAUUACCAUAGGUGGUAUAGCGAAGUUCACUUCGUCCUAUUU
rnacentral:ncRNA from 1 species